CGCUUAGGGAGAUGAGCGCAUGAUAAACUGCAAAUAGCCCAUCAGAGUUCUUCAGCAUAGCAGAAGACUAUUGUCUGUUAGGGAGAAUCUCACUAGCUCCUUUAUUACCUCCAUAAAGGAUGAAAACACAGAUAGUGUGUUUGGUAGCAGGUUUGGAUGAUGACUCAUUUCAUUUUGGUGAAGAUCCAAAAAGAUGUAUAGUAAACAUUCAUUUUCCAUUUUAAUUGCAACAGUUGUUUUGAGGCCAAACAAAGUUAUUUUCCCUUGCGAGAGGUUUGCCUUCUACUGAGUUCUAUUCUUAUUUAGAUUGUUUCAGACUGCUGACUGUACUUCCUUUCGUAGAGGAAUUGCCCCAGCCAUCUCACUUUUUAGAAACAAGAGACCGAAACUGAAUCGACAUGUUUGAUCAUGAACGUGAAUGACACAACACUUUCUUCAUUUGUCCAUGGAUGGGCUCCUGGCUAACCACGGCAAAGAGGCGCACAAGGCGAGGAUGCUGCAGGUUCUUCAUUACAUUGGCUUCUUCCAGGAAGGCUUCUGUCGACAUUGUGCCAAUUUUCAGACUCUUUAUGGCAACCUUCUGGUCGUUGUUGUAGUAACCUGAAAAAAGAUAUCUCAGUUACCGUAUUUUCCGGACGAUAAGGCGCACCGGACUAUAAGGCGCACCUUCAAUGAAUGGCCCAUUUUAAAACUUUGUCCUUAUGUAAGGCGCACCGGACUAUAAGGUGCACCAUUAAUGCAUCAUGUCAGAUUUUUAAUACAAAUCCAUUUUAUGAUUUUUUAUUUCACCUUCAGACGCAACAAAUUACUUUAUAAUCACAAAAUAAUGAUCCAAAGUCUUUUUGAUUCAUGAUUCAUAGUCUUCAGCGGGCCACUUAUGAUUGAUUUCAUGACACAAUGCUUCGGGCCAGUUUAAAUUUAGGAAUUUGGUCCGUAUAUAAGGCGCACUAGGCUAUAAGGCUUUUGAGAAAAUUCUAGGUUUUUAGGUGCACCUUAUAGUUCGGAAAAUACAAUAUUUCCCAAGAUGAAAAAAAAACGUCAUUCAAUUUAAAACAAUCAGUGUGAGCGUCAUCAUAGUUCCGUAGAAUAAAAAGUGGCAGAAAUAUGGCCAAGUUGAAGCAAAGGUCAUGUUUUCUCACUCACUGUCGCGAUAAUUAAUCAGAGCUGGUAUGAAGGCAUUUAAAAAUGGAGGAAACAGCCCUCCAAUUAAUGAAACCAUGGCUGUGACUCAUAUUGUCUAAAUACUGUAAUAGCAAUUUAAGCAAAGCUAUUUGGCCUCUGAAUGAACUUGCACAGUGGACGGUCAAGCUCCUAUUGUUGAAAUAGAAUUCCUUCGAUGCAGCAGUUCCGUGGAAAGCUAGAUUAAUGGACUCCGAGUUAUGCUUCAUGACAAGGUUAAUUCCUCGCAUUAUUCGGCAGGUCGAAGAGCACAAAGUAGCGCACAUUAAAGACUGUACUGGGCAAUACACACUGAGAAAUUUUGAGUGCUGGCAACUAUGUGGUCUUUCCUAUCAAGUGAUAAAUCUCAUCCGAACAAAAAACACAGGGUUUUCUUCUCUCACCCAUCCAGACGUCUCCAAACUGGCCCGAACCGAGUUUAUUCACCGGUUUCAGGGACUCCCGGGGGAUCUCCCAUUUAUCUUGCCACCAUGGUUUCUGAGGAGCUCUUGACUGGCAUGGCUUCACCAACUUGGUACACAAACCAUCCGAAUCACCUGAACCACAGAAAGUGGGUCAGUUGAAGACAUCACUGCAAUGAGUUUGACUUUUUGGGGUGUACUGAAUACACGUACGCAUAUAAUGCUGGACAAGCUCCUUCAGUGAAUUAAAAGAUAUCUUAGAGGUGAUGUAGAAGCCACCGUUGUCCAAAUUGCGGAUCCUGUAGUUCUUCACUCCUUCACCCGUAUUUUGAUCGACGUCCCGGAUUGACAAGGAGUAUGACCCUGAAACAAAUAAGAUGUAAACAUCUUCUGUUUGAACCACACGUGCAACAUUCCUUUCAGAAGGCAUUCUGGGAAAUUGAUAUGCUAUAAAGGCCAUUCAUUGCUGUGUACCCCCCCCCCCCCCCCCCGCAAAUUUGUAAAGAGUUCAACCAAAAUAAUGUCUGCCACAACAAAUAGCAUCACCAGUUUUGAGAAUGGAAAUAAUUUGGUCUGCGGUUGAUCUGGAAUCUCUGAAGCCCAACCCAAGUGCAUCUCUGCAGCAAAAUGUUUCCACUGAUCAAGAACCUGAUCUUGCAAGAUGAUAAAAUCUACAAAACUCUCAAAAACAGACAACGUUCCUCUCACAUCUUCCCCCAUGCCCAUUAAAUCACGACCCACUUAUUGAGUUAUUUUUGUUUGGGACGAACACUGCAUUAGGCUAUCCGGAUCCUCAAUCCCCACAAGGUAAAGUCAAAGGAAUUGUGUUCACGAGAUGCUAAGGGUAUUUAGUCCACACGAUUUCAAAAAUUCCUACAAUUAAUGCAAUACUCUUGUAGUCUAUCCACAUUGCUGACAGUGUUGUUUUGAAACAUGGCUAGCGGUGCUAAAAACAGGAGUAGUGGCAAAAUAAAACCUGUAUGGUGUAUGGCCCAGCAACAUUUCUUGAUUUGAAAGUUUAGCCCAACUGAAUUGAUCAUUUAAUACCCCUGAUAUAGAUUAGACUAGCCCAUUAUCAUUCUGGGGGUUUGGAUGAUUUGAUGCAACAGUGACUCGAACGACGAAAAAAAAAAAAGUAAGCCCUUGACCCAGAUCUUCACUAAACCUGAAUCAGUUUUUACCUUAGCCCAAGCACAACCUCUCACCAGCUUUUUGUGGACACUGGCUUUGUGUACAUCCUUCUAAUUACAUCUGUUUCAAACAGACGUGGUGUGAAAUGAUUUAUUUAAACAACAAGGUGAAGCUUAUGUGAAUCCGUCACCUGGGCUUGUCUCACUCUCACGUAUUAAGAAGGAGCCCUUCGAGUUCCCGGGUGCAAGCAGGAGCCUCAUGGAAUCGUUUCUGGAAAUGUUCUUGAAGAACCACCUGCAACAUACAACAAGCUUCACACACAGCUUUGGGGUAAAACACCCGUGUGACGUACGGUUCGGUCUCCUCGUUGCUCAUUGCAAUGAAGUUGUGUGGGAUGAAGCCCCUCUGUCCUGUGGUAAGAGACUCUGCCAAAUACCACUCUGGAUCAUUCCUAAUAGUCAAGAAAUGACAAUUUAUUGAGUAAAAAUAUACAAACAAUGAAUACAAAUGAUAUAUUUGUUUGUUUGUUUUGUAUGAAUACCAUCAUUUAUCAUUACUUUCCAAUACGGUACCAACGUGUGUGUAUUUAUUUAUAUUCAUUUACUUUUGGAGUUAUUUUAGUCAAAGAAGUCAUAAUAGGGCAACCGUUAAAACUACUUACAACACAGUUGUGGUAAUAAAAUAUUGGAAAAAAAACAAGCUGUUACAUGUUCAGAACUCACUUGUUAAGUAUCUUGAGUUUCUCUCCCUUUUCAAAGCCCAAGUCACCAUCAUGGGUGGGUUCAUGGCUGUAGCAAGCCACUGCAAUGUUCUCUGCAAAACAUUUCCCGUAAUUGUGACAUCAGCUUUUACAAAUGGAAGCUCCUGAAUGUCUGAAGAGAAGCUUUGAGUUUACAUAGCCAACAAUGACAAUUCAAAAGUGUGCAUAUAGGAAAUACAUUUUAAUCUUAACAUUAAAAAAAAAACAAUUAAUGUAAUGCUUUCAUCUUGAAGAAGAAAAAGAAAAGAAAAAAUGCUAUCUAGUGUUUAUUGUUACCAGGUAGAGGAGACAAAGGUGGCGAACCCGGUGAUAGAUAGGGAGUUAGUUCUUCUGUAUACUGGUAACAGAGGACAAGAAAUACAUGAUAUGCAAUAAUCAUGAACAUUAAUGGAAUACUAAACGGCCGUUAGCAACGCAUUAUUGACAGCACUGAGCACAAUUCAGGCAAAUCAGGUUCGUAAUGUAAGUGCAAUUGUCUCGAUCCAUUUUUUUCCAUUCAACUAUUAAAUCACUGAUACAUAUUUUUUGUAUGCACGCACAUCCUGCUGGACUGAGAAAUAAAUCACAGAAGUGAACUUACUGGUAUGCAUGAUUGUGGCUGGACUGGACAGUUACAGUGUUCACAAAUUUCAUCCAAGUUCUCAGUCCAGUCAGCAUCUGAGUAGUCGGAGCUGCAGUUACAUCCCAUCUUUUCUGCAAAUUAAUUAGAUUAUUUAAAUUAAUAGAUCAUUUUUGGGGGGCUGGUGAAAUAACAAGUGUACUUAAAUGAAUACAUCAAUCGGAUUUGUUCAAGUGCAACAAUUAUGUUAAGAAGUCCAGAACUGCCUUACAGCAUGUUUUAUGUUUGAAAACUGAAGCUUUGUAAGGACUUUGUUUGUUAAAUAAUCCUACUGUUCUAAUUACAAGCUCUAGAAACUUCUACUGAGACUUCCUUUGACAAAAACCAGCAUGUAUAUAGUGCAUGUGGUGCCACAUUGUGUUGUUUCAAGAUCACUUGGUCCCCAUUGGACCAGAAUCGGGUCAGUGAGCUGACUGCAACAUUUGUCCCUAUCCAAAGUCUCAGCCAUGGGAAAUAUUCAUGGACUAGGACCCCAAGGAAUAAAUCACAAGACCCCCCCCCCCCUCUACUAUCUCUCAGUGGAGAGCAUUUUUCUAUUCUCGGUGGCAAAUUCAACAUUUUCUAUUUAGGGCUCCUCGUCUUAUGAUCUCUUGCUGAAGGUCUUCCCAAAUAAACCCAGUUUAUUCUCAUUAUUAUAAUAAUAUAAUGUGUGAUGUGCAGUUGUAUGUUAAAUUUGACUGACCAAAGAAGAAUUGGUUUCUUUUCAUAAAACUGAAAGAAAUACUUCUAUGAAUACUACAACUAAAUUCUGAGAACUGUCUGUCUGCCGUGAAAGCAAAAUUGGAAUUAAGCAAAAGGUAUUAAUAUUCUCGGAUUCAAACUUUAGUAUGAUUCAUAAAAUGUAUAAUGAAACCAGAAGAACAUGUAGACAAAACUAAAACUAUAAUCCUGUCGAAGAUUUUCAAUGAGAGUAUAACUUUUGCUUGUUGAUCCGCCUUUACCACUCUUAGUUGUCUACAUGUAUAUCUACAAGUAUGAUACUCACCUUUGUAUAGGAAAUGUGUCUUCACGCACAUCAAAGUUCAGGUUCCGCCAUCGGUAAUUGAAAAUAUUUAGCAAUCACUUUUCACCACUAGUGUGUGGCUGUGACAAUUUUAUCAUCUGUCUGUCUGGUUUGAUAUAUCUGACAGUGCUUCUGUGUGUCUGUACAAACACAUACAUACAAA